UCUSGGUGGGGGCUCCGGUGYGGGACGCAGACCACGCUCCGCUUGAGGCUCCCCCCACUUCGGUGGCGCCUUUGGUGCAGGGAUUGUCGCUGGGGCCUCCGGACCGUAGAUCGUCGUAAGGAUCUCUAAGGAAUCUCCAAAUGCUAUGUAGAACGAGCACAACGGAUGAAGGAGGGGGAGGAAAACGGACAGCUUCAUUCUACCACACCUUCACCAAGUCAUACAAUGUUUACUUCAUGAAUAAUUGUUACGUCAGAAAUAAAUACAGAAUUAUUUUA